rnacentral:rRNA from 1 species
GACGAACCGUCCAAACGUUAUUCGGACUCACAGGGCUUAAAGGGUGCGUCGGCGGAGAGGCAAGUCAGAGGUGAAAGCCCACGGCUCAACCGUGGAAGUGCCCCUGAAACGGCCUCUCUCGAGGGAGAUAGGGGCGUGCGGAACUCAGAGUGGAGCGGUGAAAUGCGUAGAUAUUCUGAGGAACACCGGUGGCGAAAGCGGCACGCUGGGUCUUUGCUGGCGCUGAGGCACGAAAGCUAGGGGAGCAAACGGG